rnacentral:lncRNA from 1 species
AGUUCCUCCAACACAGCAGAACUUGGCCCUGUGCUUCUCUGGCCAGCUUUCCUUAAGAUACUGAACAGGCCAAAAAUGGGGCCAAGAUGCUCUAAGACUGAGCCACCAAGCAUGGGUUUGCAAUGAGCUCAUUCUGGCUUUGAGGCUCCCUGGGAAUGGCAGUGUAGAGCCUGCUCCUCUCCCUGUCCUCACCCCACAUUAUCUUGGCUCCUCAGAAGAUCUCCCAAAGGCUGUGGUGUUCCUGGAGCCUCAAUGGUACAGCGUGCUUGAGAAGGACAGUGUGACUCUGAAGUGCCAGGGAGCCUACUCCCCUGAGGACAAUUCCACACAGUGGUUUCACAAUGAGAACCUCAUCUCAAGCCAGGCCUCGAGCUACUUCAUUGACGCUGCCACAGUCAACGACAGUGGAGAGUACAGGUGCCAGACAAACCUCUCCACCCUCAGUGACCCGGUGCAGCUAGAAGUCCAUAUCGGCUGGCUGUUGCUCCAGGCCCCUCGGUGGGUGUUCAAGGAGGAAGACCCUAUUCACCUGAGGUGUCACAGCUGGAAGAACACUGCUCUGCAUAAGG